rnacentral:misc_RNA from 1 species
CAAUCAUUGGGAAAACAAUAGAUGUGGAUCUUUCUUAUAAUAACUUCACAAAACAAAACCCUUCAUAUCCUGUUUGUCGGCAGACAAGGGAUUUGAAUCUAAACUUGUUCCGAAGUUCAUCGAUGAGGAAGGACUUACAUGGGGCAUGCAUGGAAGAUUUCAGAUGUGAUCGCUGAUAUUUUAAUGGAGAAAGAUUUCAAUAUUAAAAGUGAAGCCUCUGCUGUUCUUACGCCAAUAACAAAAAAGUAUGAUGUUAAUGUUUCAAAUGGUAUUUUGGAGNNNNNNNNCGCUUCUAUUGGGCUGGCAAAGGCACCACCCGGAUUCCAAAUAUUGGAAACUAUGGCCCCC